GAGGUGGGAGAAUUGCUUGAGACUGGGAGUUUGAUGAUGCAGUGAGCUAUGAUUGCACCACUGCACUCCAGCCUGAGUGACAGAGCAAGACCUUGUCUC
rnacentral:miRNA from 1 species